UACGUAGGUGACAAGCGUUGUUCGGAUUUACUGGGCGUAAAGAGCGCGCAGGCGGUCGUUCAAGUCGAGUGUGAAAGCCCCCGGCUCAACUGGGGAGGGUCACUCGAUACUGAUCGACUCGAAGGCAGGAGAGGGAAGUGGAAUUCCCGGUGUAGUGGUGAAAUGCGUAGAUAUCGGGAGGAACACCUGUGGUGUAGACGGCUCUCUGGACCGCAACUGACGCUGAGACACGAAAGCGUGGGUAGCAAACAGG
rnacentral:rRNA from 1 species